UGUAAUCCUCGUUAGGCGAGGCUCCUAUACGAAUACAUGCCACUGCCCGGAAACGUGGAAACACGCCAAUGGGUUGAACAGGUAUCGCCGGACUAAGGCCCUACUUAAUGUGGCUGGGUGCAAACCCUACUGUCGUACAGUGCCAAAGCUCAACUAGGGGGAUUGUG
rnacentral:sRNA from 2 species